rnacentral:lncRNA from 1 species
UGUCUGGUUAGGAGAGCAGACCGAUGUGCUCCUCUCAGCUCUGACUUCCACUGAACUCCGUGAACAGAGGACUGACUCCUGCGAAGCACUGCGCUGCGGGUCUGCACAGAGAGGGGACGAUUCGGUCCUGGACUCAGGGGAGGGGAAGAGAGAGCAGUGCUCACCAUUAGGUCACCAUGCACCAAUCUGGCACCAGAACUGCUUCUUUGUACAUCUGAUCAGAGCGCCAACUUUGAGCAAUGAUGAAAAUAACCAGAGUCUUUUCAGACAAGCUGGGCACACUCUUCAGUCCAGAGCUGACCUAGG